rnacentral:rRNA from 1 species
UACAGGGGGUGCAAACGUUGCUCGGAAUUAUUGGGCGUAAAGCGCGCGUAGGCGGCCACUUAAGUCGGAUGUGAAAGCCCCUGGCUCAACUGGGGAAGUGCACCCGAAACUGAAUGGCUUGAGUGCGAAAGAGGGUCGCGGAAUUCCCGGUGUAGAGGUGAAAUUCGUAGAUAUCGGGAGGAACACCGGUGGCGAAGGCGGCCGACUGGACCACACCUGACGCUGAGGCGCGAAGGCCAGGGGAGCGAACGGG